UCAAAAACCUAUACGCCGCAAACAACUAACAAGCGAACAGAGAUCAUCAAACAACAUCAGCGCAGGAAGCAGCUCCGCCUGGAGUUGGACCGCCUCCGCCCUCGCCUUCCGACUGCUCCGCCUCCGCCUCCGGCUGCCGAAACUUUGUUUUUCUUAUCCAUUUAUCAUCAUCUCAAUUAAGGCAUUAUCAGUUAUGCAGAAGAAUAUUUCAAGUUUUUUUCAAAGGCAACCACCACCUAACAUUGAAUCGUCAUCUUCAACUAGUAAACCCUUGAAAAUCGUUUUGGAUACAUGAACGAUUCUUGCAUUUGUUACAUUGAAAAGGAGUUCUUACAACAAGUUUCCGUUGAGAGUGUAAUGCAACGUUUUCAAAGAUGAAAACUCGUCGUCAACAACUUUAGGUAGUUUUUUUUAUUUGUAAGACGAUCGUAUUUUAUAUUGUGUUUUUAAAUUUCUAAUGACAAUUUUCUUUUCAUCAUUGUAUCAUACUUUUAUUAUGUGAUGAACCUUACCCGGUCCGAACUAUCGAACCGACCCGAAAUUCUUUAUGUUAA